AACGAACGCUGGCGGCAGGCUUAACACAUGCGAGUCGAACGCCCCGCAAGGGGAGUGGCAGACGGGUGAGUAACGCGUGGGAAUCUACCGUACCCUACGGAAUAACGCAUGGAAACCUGUGCUAAUACCGGAUAUGCCCUACGGGGGAAAUAUUUACCGGGGUAUGAUGAGCCCGCGUUGGAUUAGCUAGUUGGUGGGGUAAAGGCCUACCAAGGCGACGAUCCAUAGCUGGUCUGAGAGGAUGAUCAGCCACAUUGGGACUGAGACACGGCCGAAACUCCUACGGGAGGCAGCAGUGUGGAAUAUUGGACAAUGGGCGUAACCAUGAUCCAGCCAUGCCGCGUGAGUGAUGAAGGUAUUAGGAUUGUAAAGCUCUUUCACCGUAGAAGAUAAUGACGGUAUCCGGAGAAGAAGCCCCGGCUAACUUCGUGCCAGCCGCCGCAGUAAUAC
rnacentral:rRNA from 1 species